GAUGAACGCUGGCGGCGUGCCUAAUACAUGCAAGUCGAGCGAACAGACGAGGUGCUUGCUCCUCUGACUUUAGCGGCGGACGGGGGAGUAACACGUGGAUAACCGACCUAUUAGACUGGGAUAAAUUCGGCAAACCGGAGCCAAUACCGGCUAAUAUAUUGAACCGGAUGGUUCAAUAGUUAAAGACGUUUUUCCUGUCAAGUAGCGGUGGUUCCGCGCCGCAUUAGCUAGUUGGUAAGGUAACGGCUUACCAAGGCAACGAUGCGUAGCCGAGCUGAGAGGGUGAUCGGCCACACUGGAACUGAGACAAGGUCCAGACUCCUACGGGAGGCAGCAGUAGGGAAUCUUCGGCAAUGGGCGCAAGCCUGACGGAGCCAUGCCGCGUGAGUGAAGAAGGUCUUCGGAUCGUAAAGCUCUGUCGUCAGGGAAGAAAACAUGUGUACGUAAAUAUGCACGUCUUGACGGUACCUAAACAGAAAGCACCGGCUAACUACGUG
rnacentral:rRNA from 1 species